rnacentral:rRNA from 1 species
CAAUAGCGUAUAUUAAAGUUGUUGCAGUUAAAAAGCUCGUAGUUGAAUUUUUGCUUGCCGCCGAUGUCGGAACUUCCGUACGUUCGGCGGCGUGCAUCCUUGGGUGGAACCUGUGUGGCAUUAGGUUGUCGUGCAGGGGAUGCUCAUCGUUUACUGUGAAAAAAAUUAGAGUGUUCAAAGCAGGCUUACGCCGUUGAAUAUAUUAGCAUGGAAUAAUAAGAUAGGACCUUGGUACUAUUUUGUUGGUUUGCGCACCGAGGUAAUGAUUAACAGGGACAGUUGGGGGUAUUCGUAUUCCAUCGUCAGAGGUGAAAUUCUUGGAUUUCUGGAAGACGAACUACUGCGAAAGCAUUUACCAAGGAUGUUUNCAUUAA